AGCAUGUUCGCUGGUGUGGAAUUUAUAAACUAUGUCUAAAAAUAGCUGAAAACAGUACGACAAUGUUCUAUUUUCGCCGUUCUGUCAAAAAAAGGAUUUUAACUGUAGAAGAUUCAUACCAUUUGAUGCCAAGUGUACAAUAAAAACUGAAAUGAAAAUUGACAGCAGAAGUGUCAUGGUCUUGGUGGAAAAUGCUGUGCUCUUCAUUGACCUCUGUUUAAUAAUGGCUUAUGAUAAAAAAAACUACCAGGAAUGCUCCAAGAUGGCAAUGGAGGGCAGUGUAAAAGACACUGAGAAAUCACAAUGUUUCAAACAUCUAGAAUAUGCCCAGAGUCAGUCUUCAAGAUACUCACCUUAAAGGUUCCAGUGUGAUUUAGGAGACUUUGUCAGAACAGUACAUUAUACCUACAUACACUGGAGAUACCAGACCCAACAGAUAACUACAGAUAUAUUUAAACAGAACCUGAAAUUAAUUGCAUAUCCCAAUACAACAUAAUACUUUAAACGGUUAAAUAGGCAGUGAGGCAUUUGUGUGUAAUCUUCAUUUAAUAUUUGAAAUUUCUUUUUCCUUUUUUUAAGUUUGAUUUUGCAUUUAAAAGCCAUUAGCAUUAGAUUUUUCAAAAAUAUAUGUAUUUUUAUACAGUUUCAACUGUGAUGUAUAUCCAGUUGUACAUGUUUCCUCUAAGGAUUAAAACACUUUUGAAUUAUAUAGGAAAAUUGAAAUGAUACAUUUAUUCAAACUUAUGGUAAAACACACACUACCAUUGUUGAUCAUGUAAACCUUCAUACUAUCUUUUAUAGAAAUUAUGUGAAUCUUUUGAUAUUUCUGAAUACAUUUAUUUUUACUUUUACUGGCUCAUGUUUAAACACAGAAUGCUAUAUAAAGUGUAUACUCCAGUGUAUAUCAUAACAUGAUUGAAAUAGAUAAUAGAUAAUAUUUGCAUGAAACUCUGAACACUUAACCACUUUGGCAAUCUGCACCAGUUAAGAUACUUUUUGUUGAAUAAUGUGUUUUGAUGAGACCAGCUUGUAAAAUAGCUGUUUUUCUUUUAGUCAUUUUGUGAAUACCUGAAUUAUCCUCGGGAUCUAUUUCAGUCAUACAGAUCCCAAGUACCGGUUAGGGCAAUGUGUCAUGUACCGCAUCAGGGGAAUCGGGUCAGCAGUGCAGAGAAUUGGGCAUUAAAAUGUUGCUAUUGGUUCGCCACGUCCAGGAUCGGGUGUUAACUUAGGGUUUUUACCUUGACUCCGACAAUGGACCGCGAGCUAUGGGGCGGAAUACGCGGGGGAAUAUGACCCCUGUGGGUGAUUGCAUGGUUCUAUGGGUUUAUAUAA